AAGCAGAGGCCACAGCUAAUAACGGCUGUGUCCCAAUCCAUGGUCUCAAUUCGAGGGCUGCAGCCCUGCAGACUCCGAAGGCUGGUUUUAAUGCCGCAUACGUCACUUCCGGUGAAACAAGGCCUGUCCCAUUUCAUUUUUAUGUCAUGCAGCCUUCAAAUGCAGCCCUAAAACCGGCCACGUUUCCAUGGAGAUGGGGCCGCGAACGGACACAUCCGAGUAUCCUUCGCAGCCUUCAGUAUCCCAGCAUGCACUGCGCGGCGGCAGUCAGAUGUUCGAAAACACGGAGCGACAACACGGAGCAAAAAGCCCGUCCGGAGAGCGGAGAAAAACAUCCUCCAGUAUGAGGACACAGCACACUGCAGGGGCCACAGAACUGUUGGCUGGCAAGAUGCUUGUGAUUCAUAAAAUGGGUCAAAUGCAGAUGACAAAGUAAAGGCCACACUGAGCUGGAGGUGCUGACCCAGACUCCUGCCAACGAUUACGUAUGGGGCAUGUUACAUUGAAAAUUCUACUAAUAAUAAGAGCUGCAAAUGAAUCAUGCUCAUGUUGAAAUUAUGAUUUAAAUUGUGAAAAUAUGUAUUUCUCAAAUGUGUGGGAUUCCUCUAUUCAUUUAGCUGUUUCAGAUGUAAACUGCCUUUGAAUCUGAAUGUACAUCAAAGUUUAAGUUCAACGUUAAAAAACGUUCAUUGUCAAUUCUUCAUACAAAAAACAUAUAAAGAAUUGUUUUUCUCACUCCCUUGCAUAUAAAUAAUAAUAAAUGUAAAUAGUGCGGAGGGAGUCCAGGUGUUCUUUGGGGCUGCAUGCUCUGUGAAACUUAUUUUCCUCUAAUAGUUUUGUAGUUUUCUUAAUGUGUGUGUCAUUACAGGUUUUCACUCUGCAGGACAGAACUUUGAAUCAAUCAGACGUAACGCACAUUCUGCUCUUCCUCCUCCAGAAGACGAGAGACACAUCAGACUGAGUGGUCCAAGUCCACUGUCCAUGUCUCCAAUGUCCAUGUCCAGAGUCUCUGAGGAGGAGGUCCAGAGUCUUAUAUGACCUUAACAAGUGUGUGAGACAGAAAUGAAAACAUCUGCUCAUACAUUUUUCUGAAUGUUUUUCAGCCUGUACUGACAUUUGAUUUAUGGUGAAAUGUGCCGUUUAUUUGGUGUCUCUUUUGAUAGUAACUAAUUACAUGUACUAUUGUACUGCAGAUAAGCAGUGGUAUUCUACAUGAUCAUAUGUGACAAAGAUAAUGUGUUCAUUUUUGAUUGCGUUCCCUUUUUGCUGAAGCAAGUGACAAUGAGAUUUAUUGACAUACAGCUGUUUGUACUAACCUGUUAAUGCAGUGUGAGUGUGUGUGAGUGUGUGAUGGGUUUAAUAUUUGACUUCAUAUUAUGAUAAAGUAUUUCCAGAAGUUCCUUGGAUUGUUUAAUAAACCAUCUUUUCUCAGGA